rnacentral:rRNA from 1 species
AUUGAACGCUGGCGGCAGGCCUAACACAUGCAAGUCGAACGGUAACAGGAAGAAGCUUGCUUCUUUGCUGACGAGUGGCGGACGGGUGAGUAAUGUCUGGGAAACUGCCUGAUGGAGGGGGAUAACUACUGGAAACGGUAGCUAAUACCGCAUAACGUCGCAAGACCAAAGAGGGGGACCUUCGGGCCUCUUGCCAUCGGAUGUGCCCAGAUGGGAUUAGCUAGUAGGUGGGGUAACGGCUCACCUAGGCGACGAUCCCUAGCUGGUCUGAGAGGAUGACCAGCCACACUGGAACUGAGACACGGUCCAGACUCCUACGGGAGGCAGCAGUGGGGAAUAUUGCACAAUGGGCGCAAGCCUGAUGCAGCCAUGCCGCGUGUGUGAAGAAGGCCUUCGGGUUGUAAAGUACUUUUAGCGGGGAGGAAGAGAGUAAAGUUAAUACCUUUACUCAUUGACGUUACCCACAGAAGAAGCACCGGCUAACUCCGUG